AUGGACUCUGCCUCUGUGGACCAGAAAGUACUUGUUCAAAAACUUUGUCUCUGCUUGGAGGAACACAGGCACACACAUCAAAAGGACAAAGAAACUCAUAGGAGUCAGUUCUCUCCUUCUACUAUGUGGAUUCUGAGGCUUGAACUCAGGUCAUCAGGCAGCAGCCGCCACAGCUUCCAGCCAGCCACACAGUUGGGAGACAAUGAACCAACAGACUCUACAAGCUGGUGGCAGGAAUUGGAAGGUGGUGGAACCUUUGAAAGAUGGUGGCAGCAGAGCAAGAAGAACAAAACCCUUGAAGAUCUGGACAGGUCUCUGCUGCCUGACCCACCAGAAUGGGAACGGCUUCUACCACCCAGCCCUGUGGCCGUGAAAUCUGACCUCCUGCUCUUCCUCCCCUGUCACAAUGGAUGA
rnacentral:lncRNA from 1 species